GAAGCUGCGGAGGAUCAUUACCGAGAGAGGGGCUUCGCGCUCCCGGGGGCUUCGGCCSCCAACUCUUCACCCGUUGUUUACCUACCUUCGUUGCUUUGGCGGGCCCCGGGGCUCGCCCCGCGCGGGUUUUCGGGCCCGCGAGCGCCCGUCAGAGGCCCAUUAAAUUCUGCCUUAUCGGUGACGUCUGAGUGAAAAACACAAUAGUAAAAACUUUCAACAACGGAUCUCUUGGUUCCAGCAUCGAUGAAGAACGCAGCGAAAUGCGAUAAGUAAUGUGAAUUGCAGAAUUCAGUGAAUCAUCGAAUCUUUGAACGCACAUUGCGCCCCUCGGCAUUCCGGGGGGCAUGCCUGUUCGAGCGUCAUUGCACCCCUCAAGCGUAGCUUGGUAUUGGGCCUUCGCCCCCGCGGCGUACCCGAAAAGCAGUGGCGGUCCGGUGCGACUUUAAGCGUAGUAAAUUUUCAUCCCGCUUUGAAAGUCUGCCCCGUGACCGGCCAGCCAACCCCCCAUUAUUCCAAUGAUUGACCUCGGAUCAGGUAGGGAUACCCGCUGAACUUAAGCAUAUCAAUAAGCGGAGGAAAAGAAACCAACAGGG
rnacentral:rRNA from 1 species